GCAUUGGUGGUUCAGUGGUAGAAUUCUCAUUUUCCAUGUAGGAGACCCGAGUUCAAUUCCCAGCCAGUGUA
rfam:Loxodonta africana unplaced genomic scaffold scaffold_1, whole genome shotgun sequence.